CAUCCAUAGGUGUUUUCAAUACCUGAUUGAAAACACUUCAAUGAACCUCUGUUCUUCAGAGUGGUAGUUCUUUAAGGGGUUGAAUAAUUGUGUCAAUGAAGAAUUCACAAAAGAAACAUUUACUACUAUAUUACAAAACCAAUUGAUGUCAUUUUAGUUGCAUAUGGUUCUUUAAGAAGUCAUUGUAGGAUUUCAUUCUGAAUACAAUUACAAAUGUACACUAAAUUCCCUAAAACCCUUAACAGCAUUGGGGGUUGAAUAAUUUUGAACACAACUGUACAUAAAAAAGUAGGCAAACUGUAAUUUACACAAGGUGCAUAAAAUAUACAGUGCUAUAAUGGAUAUUUCACUUCAGUGAUUACUGUGUAGUUAACGCUUUUAAUGAAAAGGGUUUAACAUGUUUAUUUUGCCUUUUGGUUUGCAUACAUAUUGUUAUAUUUAAAAAUUUGUGAUGUUCAAAAUAGUAGGUUGACUUAUACAUAUCAAUAAGAUGUAAUAUAUAAUCAAAGUGUACUUUUUAUUUUAGUGGCAUUUUUAUGUUUUACCCAGUAGAUGGUGCGUGUUUUGUUUUUACACUUACACGUAUUUCCGUUUUUGACCGGAAGAGACGGAAUCCAUUUCAAUUUCAUCUUCGGCCGGUAAGCACAUGGACAUUAUUGCUUUUAUGAAUUGAUAUGGCUUGGUUACCAUUUUCACCAUAAAGCGAAAUAAAUUUUUAUUUGGUUACAGUGUGUGUUGUAAUAAAGUUAGUAUUUCAUAUUUUGUUAGGUGUUGAGAAGAAAUUAAAUGUGUGUCACAUGUGCACACAUGUAAAGUUGCGUAAAUGGAUGUUCAGACGCGUUGGCGUCUAAAGAACUUUAGAUUGUAUAAGUAUUAGCUUGUUUUUAAGGUACUGUUAUGUAGAUUUAGACACAGACGACAGCCUAUUUGUUUAAUUCAUCUUUUAAAUAUACGUUGUUUCUUGUUAGGGUCCAUCUGUAAACUCCGUUAGACUAGAUAAAGUACGAGCAAGUGUUUCCUCUUCAUUUUUUUAUUGUCAGUAAAAUGUAAGCAUAAAUUGUGCAUUUCCAAAUUUAAAACAUACAAAGACACGGGCUGAGUAUUUGCAAAGUUUGUUGGAAUGUAAUUUUUAAAAAUAAAGUUAUAUUUAAUUGUUUAAUUGUUUACACCCUCUGCUCCGUGUUGGAAUGUAAUUUUCCAUAGUGCCUAAAUUCGUCUUCAGCGUGGCGCACGAAUUGUGUUGCUUAACGCUUAUCUGCUUGCUUUGUUUUACUGCAGCGUUUUGAAGGUAAACGGCUCAUUAUGUUUUUUAAUUCCUGUAAUUAUAAAGCUGAUUGUUUUAGAAGCAAAUAUAUUAAGACGUUUUGGCGGCGGAGGAUCACACGCGUGCACAAGUAACUUUACGUGCGAUUUGUAUUAGAUGCGUUUUAAACACGUGUGGUGAUAAGGGAGCUUAUAACAGUGUUUGCUUGUUUAUCAAACUUUGUUUUCUUGUAUUGCAGAAGACAGUGAAAGCGGAUUUUGAGAAAUCAUUGAAAGUGGAUUUGAGAAUGCCCCGUACCAAGAAGAGUGUGCGGUCGCAGGUAGCCAAAAAGAGGAUGGCGGAGCAGAUGGCUGCUGUUGCUGCGGAGGUUGUGCCACCUCUUAAAAAAAUGGCACAACUAACAGAACGUUGUUUAUAUUACUGAUCAUAUACUGUAUACUAGACCUAAGGCCUAUUGUUUCUACACAAGGCUAUAAUGACACCCAGUUAAACUUCUAAGGCCCAUUGCUUUUACACAAGGAUAUAAGACACCCAGUUAAACUUUCGUUUCCUCAGUUAACUUUCGUUUUCUCAGUUUCCUAAUUAAAAGAGACCAGGUGCUAUCCUGCAACUAUACCCCGAUUGUUCUCGCCACGAUUAGUUUGAGAACCAAGGUCGACAUAAGCGAUAAAGAAGAGGACGCCAUUUCAGAUUAGUUAUCUUUCAUUUUCUCAGUUUCCUAAUUAAAAGAGACCAGGUGCUAUCCUGCAACUAUACCCUGAUUGUUCUCGCCACGAUUAGUUUGAGAAACAUGGUCAAACAACCGAAAAACAAGAGUACGUCAUUUUAGAUUAGAGAAUUUGUCCGGCUGUACUUUGCUACAUUAACAAAAAGUUGGUUAUGUCAGGGAAAGCCAAGGCCAAUCGAAAUAAUAAACCGAGAACGUCACUUUAAGAUUUAAGAAGUCCAGCUGUCAUUUUAGAUAUGAAGAAGGAUUCAGCUGCACAUAAAACAAACAGAUUGAUUGUGGCAAACCAAGACCAAUUAGAAGAGUAUACGUCAUCUUAGAUAAAAAGUGUUUGAUCUUACUGUAUAAAAUAUGGAGUCAGAGAGGUAAAAAUCAGAAGGCUGGGGAUGGUUUCUGAAUGCAUGCUAAUGUAAUUCUUUGAUCAUCUGAACUUUGUUGGCUCGAGCGAAUAAAGUAAUUUUUGUUUGGCACCUGGAA